rnacentral:rRNA from 1 species
AACGAACGCUGGCGGCGUGCCUAACACAUGCAAGUCGAGCGCGAAUGGAGCAAUCCUAGUAGCGCGGCGAACGGGUGCGUAACACGUGGGUAAUCUGCCUAGAAGACUGGAAUAACCUGCCGAAAGGCUGGCUAAUACCGGAUAAGACCACAGAGUCUUCGGACUCCGAGGGAAAAUGGUGGCCUCUGUAUACAAGCUAUCACUUCUAGAUGAGCCGGCGGCCCAUCAGCUAGUUGGCGGGGUAAUGGCCCACCAAGGCAACGACGGGUAGCUGGUUGGAGAGGACGAUCAGCCACACUGGAACUGAGAAACGGUCCAGACUCCUACGGGAGGCAGCAGUGGGGAAUUUUGCACAAUGGGCGAAAGCCUGAUGCAGCAACGCCGCGUGUGUGAUGAAGGUCUUCGGAUUGUAAAGCACUUUCGACCGGGACGAACACCUGUUGGCCAACAUCAAACAGCCUGACGGUACCGGGAGAAGAAGCACCGGCUAACUCUGUGCCAGCAGCCGCGGUAAGAC